GACGAACCGUGCGAACGUUAUUCGGAAUCACUGGGCUUAAAGCGCGUGUAGGCGGGACGGCACGUCCGGCGCUGAAAUCCCCCGGCUCAACCGGGGAACGGGCGCGGAUACGACCGGCCUGGAGGGACGUAGGGGGACCUGGAACUUCCGGUGGAGCGGUGAAAUGCGUUGAGAUCGGAAGGAACGCCCGUGGCGAAAGCGAGGUCCUGGACGUUUUCUGACGCUGAGACGCGAAAGCCAGGGGAGCGAACGGG
rnacentral:rRNA from 1 species